rnacentral:lncRNA from 1 species
AAUUCAAUGAGAGGUGUCAUUCUUUAUUGGAUUCAGCUCUUAAAGUUUAAGUUAGAUUCAGUUUAAGUUCAGCUUUUAAAGUUCAGGUUUAAGGUUCUAUACAUGGUUCAGAUUUUAAGUUCAGGUUUAAGUGGAUUAGAUUCAGUUUAAGUUCAGUUUUUAAAUUUAUGUGGUUCAGGUUUAAGGUUCAGUUUAAGUUCAGGUUUAAGGUUCUGUACAUGGUUCAGGGUUAGGUCUAGGUGAUUUAAGUUCUGAUUUAAAUUUAUGUUUAGGUUCAGACUUCAAUUCAGGUUUAGGUAAAUUUAAAUUCAGGUUGAGAGAAUAGAUUCAGGUUCAGAAGAGAUAAGAUAGGAGAGGUAAGAGAGAAG